rnacentral:tRNA from 1 species
GUUAUUGAAGUUUUAUUAAAUAUUAACCUUUCAAGUUAAAGUACCUUCUAACCAAGGCAAUAAUA